CAUACAAAUGUAUUAAAUUAUACUGAUUAGCUAAAUAUCUUCCAAGAACGCCAAGCAAACGUCGUAACACAAGAGCUACAAGCACUGAGCCUUCAAUAUCACAUCAGGAAACUCUAAGCAAUGAAGGCAUUUUCUCCUUUGUGCUCUCCAGGUUUCCAAAUACCACAUGCUUCCACAAUGACCCAGAGGAGGAUCAUGAAUUGGUUCUUAAUCAUAUUUGUCAUUCAGAAAGUGGUCCUUGACAGCCUUUAGAGAUGCCAGAGAGCACCUCUAGCACCACAAGCUCUUGGUGGGCUUCAGGGUUCACAUCAAGGGAGUAAUGGCAGUUUCCACCAGGCAGGAGCUGCCCCUUUGGGAUCCCAGUGGUGUUCUGCAGCCCUUUGCAGCACUAGGGGCAUGCACAAAGACAACAAGCAAUGGGUGGGAUCUAAAAACAGCAACGCAUUUUGUGCUACUAAUACCAAGACCUGGAUUCCAGAUGAGGGUGCAGGGUGAUGAAGCAUGCAGUUCAUACUGACAGCGACAACCUGCCUUCACUCAAACCCUGACAGAGCCCAGAGCACAGGGGCUGUUUGCACAUCUCUGCUCCAGGGUUGCUCCAGGGUAGUUGCAGCCCAAGGUAGCUGAGGUAUAGUUCAGCUGCAACCCAGCUCUCUCCUGCAUAGGCAGCAUUUUUGGUGUUUGCUCUUUGAAAGCAGUACUACUGCUUCUGUGUUGUCACUCGUGUCACGGCAUGUGCUGCAUCCCACCAAAGCACUGUGACCAGGGGUUGCUGCAGCUGCCGUAUCCCAGUUACGGAGUGCUCAGGUUGUCUCCGCUCUAACCCACCAGCAGAGGACACGGGGAAGUUAUUUUGUGUGCCUACGCAGAGUUAGUUUAGCUGAGAGAGGGACGUGGCACUGAGGCAUAAAUCUAUUAACUCUAAGCAAACAAAGAGCAGCUGAAGGCUGCAGGCAGUACCAAAAUGAGCCCACCUGGGGCCUGCUUUCAGCUCCUUAGCUGCUUUCUGCAUUUUAAAAAGGAAGAGAUUUAAAGCACAGUGCAAAUCCAAAAAGUGCUGAAAAGUGGUUUGAAUUACUCACAGGAGGAGCCACCUGCGGGGGAAGAUGUGUUUCAUGCAGGCAAGCUGAAAUGCAAUUUCCCCCUGUGAGGGAAAGGUGAUGGUCAGUGAAGCAGAUGGAUACCGGAAGACACACGGCUAUUGCUCUGAGAUGCGCUCAGAGGUGGCACUGCUUCCUUGGGCAGGCCCUGGAGUUAGGACCAAGGAGGAUGCCAGCUGAUGGCUGGAUCCUGUGGAGUUGGCACAAGGCUGCUGUGUGUGUUGGUCCUGCAGUGGGGCUGCCCUGUGGUCUCAGAGGCUGGCUGAAAACUUCGAUACAAGGACAGAAAGUAAAAAAUAAAGAAAUUAAA